AUGGUAUGGUAUGUCUGUUCAUUCAGUCGUCUUUCUCUAACUUCCUGUCUUCUAGGUGAUGUCCGUCCCACCCUGACAGUCCUUCCCCCCUCCAGUGUGGAGCUGCAGCAGGGAAAGGCCACUCUCAUGUGUCUGGCUAACAAGGGCUUCCCCUCAGGCUGGAGUCUGAACUGGAAGGUAGAUGGAGUCAGCACCACCCGGGAGGUGACGGGGAGCCCCGGGGUCCUGGACAAGAAUGGCCUCUACAGCUGGAGCAGCACGCUGACCCUCCCUGUGGACCAGUGGAGGAAGGUGGGCUCUGUGACCUGUGAGGCCAACCAGGGCUCCCAGGCUCCUCUCUCUGAGUCACUGAGGAGAGAACAGUGUUCUGAAUGAGCUCCUCCUCUGAAU